rnacentral:rRNA from 1 species
GACAGAGGAUGCAAGCGUUAUCCGGAAUGAUUGGGCGUAAAGCGUCUGUAGGUGGCUUUUUAAGUCCGCCGUCAAAUCCCAGGGCUCAACCCCGGACUUGCAGUGGGUACGGGCAGACUAGAGUGUGGUAGGGGAGACUGGAAUUCCUGGUGUAGCGGUGAAAUGCGCAGAUAUCAGGAGGAACACCGAUGGCGAAGGCAGGUCUCUGGGCCACUACUGACGCUGAGAAGCGAAAGCAUGGGGAGCGAACAGG